CCUACGGGUGGCUGCAGUGAGGAAUAUUGGUCAAUGGCCGAGAGUCUGAACCAGCCAAGUCGCGUGAAGGAUGACUGCCCUAUGGGUUGUAAACUUCUUUUAUAUGGGAAUAAUCUUUGGUAUGUAUACUAUUUUGCCUGUACCUUAUGAAUAAGCAUCGGCUAACUCCGUGCCAGCAGCCGCGGUAAUACGGAGGAUGCGAGCGUUAUCCGGAUUGAUUGGGUUUAAAGGGUGCGUAGGCGGGGUUUUAAGUUGGUGGUGAAACGUCGGGGCUUAACCGUGCUGAGCCAUCAAUACUGUAAGACUUGAGUGCAGAGGAGGUAGGCGGAAUGAGUGGAGUAGCGGUGAAAUGCAUAGAUAUAGCGUAGAACCCCGAUAGCGAAGGCAGCGUGCCGGACUGCGACUGACGCUGAAGCACGAGAGCGUGGGGAGCGAACAGGAUUAGAUACCCCUGUAGUC
rnacentral:rRNA from 1 species